GACAGGGUGAAAGCACCAAAGGUGAAGAAACGGAUGAUGCGCAGGUGUAUCAAAUUCAAAUGGAUUCAAACGAAGUGGAACUGGUAGAUCCCCUGCUCCGUGUAAUUGAAUAAUUCAAAUAUUUAAGGAAGCCUCUCAAUGAAGAAAUAUGAACAACAGAGAAGAGGAAAACUUUGGAAGAGAAGAAGACGUAGGUGAUUGAGCUGGCUUAUAUCGUCUCUAAUUGGGCCUCCUAUUCAUGCUCAAUUUUUUUCCAUUUCAUCAACUUCCAUCUUCACCGUCUCCACCAACCAAUACCCAUUUGAUUCCUUUAGCGCCCAUUCAACAAUCCAUCGAUUCCUCAAUCUCCUUAACCACUUGGACCGGUUAAUCUCUUGGUGCCCAUUCAUGGUGGUCGGGUUUGAAGUAAAGAGGCCGAAGGUGAUGUCCUGGGGAGUUGCUGCGCAUACAUAACACGUUUCAGGAAGUCUGCAUUAGAGAAAUCGAAGGAAAAAAAGAGAGUAAUGCAAUAUAGACGGUCACAUAGAUUCUCACUAACUUGGGUUCAUGAUAAUUUGCAGUACACAUAGCUUUGGGAGGUGAGACAAAAGACGAUACGCAGUGAAUUCUCGAGUUCUGUUGGUACUUACGUUAGCAAUAUAAGUAGAAGAGGUUUGAUAGCUGAAUAACUCGUCUAUACUUAGACGCUAGAAAAUGAAUGCCGCGAAAAGUUGUUAGCUUCGAAUUUUGCAAAACAUUAGGGAAUGCGGGAUGUUGAAUAAGCAGAAGCAAACUGGCAACCCAUGGACCAGUGACGAUCCAAGUGACCACCCUUUUUUUUUUUUCUUUCUUUUUUGCUCUCGUCAAUAGUCUUCCUUUGUGUUGGUCAUAUUUUCAAGCCUAAACUGUAACUAGGGAAUGUUGGUCCCUCAAAAGUAGAAAUUUUAGUUUAUAUUUUAUUUUAGUUUA